CAGCUCCUCGUCCAGUGAAAGUGAAAGUAAACACAAAACAGUAUCAUGAAAACACCGUUGCAAGGUUGAAGCCGUUUGUUGACUGGCCCAGCAAAUUGAGUGUGAAAUCAAAGAUAAGGGUGGCGUCUGAACUCUGCUCCACACAGCAAGCAGAUUUGAUUUCUCUGACUCAACCCAUCGUUACCGGACAAAUCAGAUGGCCCCCGAAUGUGUUGGCAUUCGGUGAAAUGUUGGGGAGGUACUCAAAU